rnacentral:rRNA from 1 species
AUACGUAGGGGGCGAGCGUUGUCCGGAAUGAUUGGGCGUAAAGGGCGCGUAGGCGGCCCGGUAAGUCUGGAGUGAAAGUCCUGUUUUUAAGAUGGGAAUUGCUUUGGAUACUGUCGGGCUUGAGUGCGGGAGAGGUAAGUGGAAUUCCCAGUGUAGCGGUGAAAUGCGUAGAGAUUGGGAGGAACACCAGUGGCGAAGGCGACUUACUGGACUGUAACUGACGCUGAGGCGCGAAAGUGUGGGGAGCAAACAGGAUUAGAUACCCUGGUAGUCCACACUGUAAACGAUGAAUGCUAGGUGUAGGGGGUAUCGACCCCUUCUGUGCCGCAGUCAACACAAUAAGCAUUCCGCCUGGGGAGUACGGCCGCAAGGUUGAAACUCAAAGGAAUUGACGGGG